GAUGAACGCUGGCGGCGUGCCUAAUACAUGCAAGUCGAGCGAACAGACGAGGAGCUUGCUCCUCUGACGUUAGCGGCGGACGGGUGAGUAACACGUGGAUAACCUACCUAUAAGACUGGGAUAACUUCGGGAAACCGGAGCUAAUACCGGAUAAUAUAUUGAACCGCAUGGUUCAAUAGUGAAAGACGGUUUUGCUGUCACUUAUAGAUGGAUCCGCGCCGCAUUAUCUAGUUGGUAAGGUAACGGCUUACCAAGGCGACGAUGCGUAGCCGACCUGAGAGGGUGAUCGGCCACACUGGAACUGAGAAACGGUCCAGACUCCUACGGGAGGCAGCAGUAGGGAAUCUUCCGCAAUGGGCGAAAGCCUGACGGAGCAACGCCGCGUGAGUGAUGAAGGUCUUCGGAUCGUAAAACUCUGUUAUUAGGGAAGAACAAAUGUGUAAGUAACUAUGCACGUCUUGACGGUACCUAAUCAGAAAGCCACGGCUAACUACGUG
rnacentral:rRNA from 1 species